UACGAAGGGGGCUAGCGUUGCUCGGAAUCACUGGGCGUAAAGGGUGCGUAGGCGGGUCUUUAAGUCAGGGGUGAAAUCCUGGAGCUCAACUCCAGAACUGCCUUUGAUACUGAAGAUCUUGAGUUCGGGAGAGGUGAGUGGAACUGCGAGUGUAGAGGUGAAAUUCGUAGAUAUUCGCAAGAACACCAGUGGCGAAGGCGGCUCACUGGCCCGAUACUGACGCUGAUGCACGAAAAGCGUGGGGGAGCAAACAGG
rnacentral:rRNA from 1 species